rfam:Armatimonadetes bacterium CG2_30_66_41 cg2_3.0_scaffold_6429_c, whole genome shotgun sequence.
GUCCCAGCCCUUGCCCCGCCUUUGAGGGGAUUGAAAC